GAUGAAGAACGCAGCGAAAUGCGAUACGUAAUGUGAAUUGCAGAAUUCAGUGAAUCAUCGAAUCUUUGAACGCAUAUUGCGCUCUUUGGUAUUCCGAAGAGCAUGCUUGUUUGAGUAUCAGUAAACACCUCAACCUCUUCUUGAUUUUUCAAAAGGAGGGUGGACUUGAGCUAUCCCAACAACCUUUACCGGUCGGCGGGCGGCUUGAAAUGCAGGUGCAGCUGGACUUUUAUCUGAGCUAAAAGCAUAUCUAUUUAGUCCUCGUCAAACAGGAUUAUUACUUUUGCUGCAGCUAACAUAAAGGAUAAUUGUCCUCUUUGCUGACUGUUGCAGGAUUUUACGACACUUUAUGUGUUGUUCAACUCGAUCUCAAAUCAAGUAAGACUACCCGCUGAACUUAAGCAUAUCAUAAGCGGAGGA
rnacentral:misc_RNA from 1 species